AGCAGCCGCGGUAAUUCCAGCUCCAAUAGCGUAUAUUAAAGUUGCUGCAGUUAAAAAGCUCGUAGUUGAAUUUCGGGACCAUCAUGUCGGUCGUGCCUCGGUACGUACUGGUAUCGUUGGUUUCUCCCUUCUGACGAACCAUGAUGUCAUUUAUUUGGUGUCGUGGGAAAUCAGGACUGUUACUUUGAAAAAAUUAGAGUGUUUAAAGCAGGCUCACGCUUGAAUACAUUAGCAUGGAAUAAUGAAAUAGGACGUUUGAUUCUAUUUUGUUGGUUUCUAGGAUUGACGUAAUGAUUAAUAGGGAUAGUUGGGGGCAUUAGUAUUCAAUUGUCAGAGGUGAAAUUCUUGGAUUUAUUGAAGACUAACUACUGCGAAAGCAUUUGCCAAGGAUGUUUUCAUUAAUCAAGAACGAAAGUUAGGGGAUCGAAGACGAUCAGAUACCGUCGUAGUCUUAACCAUAAACUAUGCC
rnacentral:rRNA from 1 species